rnacentral:rRNA from 1 species
UACGUAGGGUGCUAGCGUUGUCCGGAAUCAUUGGGCGUAAAGCGCGUGUAGGCGGUCCGGUAAGUCCGCUGUGAAAGUCGAGGGCUCAACCCUCGAAUGCCGGUGGAUACUGUCGGGCUAGAGUGCGGAAGAGGCGAGUGGAAUUCCCGGUGUAGCGGUGAAAUGCGCAGAUAUCAGGAGGAACACCUAUGGCGAAGGCAGCUCGCUGGGACGUUACUGACGCUGAGACGCGAAAGCGUGGGGAGCAAACAGG